GCAGCCUGCCGGUCUGUCGCUCAUCCCACCGGGAUGGGAGGAACGUCCGGGCAACAAAGGGCACCAUACUUCUUAACGGGAAGCCGUCCGCGAGGGUGGAGCAGCGUAACAGAAAACGACCGCCGGACCUGUCCGGUAAGGGUGAAAAGGUGGGGUAAGAGCCCACCGGGUCUUAUAGUAAUAUAAGAUGCCGUACGUCUUAUGGGUUGUAAGGUCAUGUAUACCGGCGCAUGUAGGAUUGCCCGUCCGAUGCCGGGGGGUAGACCGCUAAAGCUUGCUGGUGACAGCAAGACGAGAUAAAUGGCAGACGCUUCCGUGCAAACGGGAGUACAGAACCCGGCUUAUAGGCAGACUGCUUUU
rnacentral:RNase_P_RNA from 1 species